rnacentral:rRNA from 1 species
GCAAGUCGAGCGGUAAGGCCCUUCGGGGUACACGAGCGGCGAACGGGUGAGUAACACGUGAGCAACCUGCCCCUGACUCCGGGAUAAGCGGUGGAAACGCCGUCUAAUACCGGAUACGACUCUCCGGCUCAUGCUGGAGGGUGGAAAGUUUUUUCGGUCGGGGAUGGGCUCGCGGCCUAUCAGCUUGUUGGUGGGGUAAUGGCCCACCAAGGCGAUUACGGGUAGCCGGCCUGAGAGGGUGACCGGCCACACUGGGACUGAGACACGGCCCAGACUCCUGCGGGAGGCAGCAGUGGGGAAUCUUGCGCAAUGGGCGAAAGCCUGACGCAGCGACGCCGCGUGGGGGAUGACGGCCUUCGGGUUGUAAACUCCUUUUACCACUCACGCAGGCUCCCAGUUCUCUGGGGGUUGACGGUAAGUGGGGAAUAAGGACCGGCUAACUACGUGCCAGCAGCCGCGGUAAUACGUAGGGUCCGAGCGUUGUCCGGAAUUAUUGGGCGUAAAGAGCUCGUAGGCGGCAUGUCACGUCUGCUGUGAAAGACCGGGGCUUAACUUCGGUUUUGCAGUGGAUACGGGCAUGCUAGAGGUAGGUAGGGGAGACUGGAAUUCCUGGUGUAGCGGUGGAAUGCGCAGAUAUCAGGAGGAACACCGGUGGCGAAGGCGGGUCUCUGGGCCUUACCUGACGCUGAGGAGCGAAAGCAUGGGUAGCGAACAGGAUUAGAUACCCUGGUAGUCCAUGCCGUAAACGAUGGGCGCUAGGUGUGGGGACUUUCCACGGUUUCCGCGCCGUAGCUAACGCA